GACAGAGGAUCAUCCAUGGAAGCUUGGAAAAUUGAAGAGAUUAAAGGGGGAAAACAAGGAAUUAAGUUAAGGUCGAAACGAGGACACCGUCCCAUUGCUACCGGGAGCCGAUCACUUGGUACACAAACAAUUAUGACGAUUGGAAAUCAGUGUGAACUUAUAUGAACAUUGAAAGAUUUGCGCACAUCGGUAUGACUU